ACGAACGCUGGCGGCAUGCCUCACACAUGCCAGUCGAACGAGACCUUCGGGUCUAGUGGCGCACGGGUGCGUAACGCGUGGGAACCUGCCCUUAGGUUCGGAAUAACUCCCCGAAAGGGGUGCUAAUACCGGAUAAUGUCUUCGGACCAAAGAUUUAUCGCCUUUGGAUGGGCCCGCGUUGGAUUAGCUAGUUGGUAGGGUAAAAGCCUACCAAGGCGACGAUCCAUAGCUGGUCUGAGAGGAUGAUCAGCCACACUGGGACUGAGACACGGCCCAGACUCCUACGGGAGGCAGCAGUGGGGAAUAUUGGACAAUGGGCGAAAGCCUGAUCCAGCAAUGCCGCGUGAGUGAUGAAGGCCUUAGGGUUGUAAAGCUCUUUUACCCGGGAUGAUAAUGACAGUACCGGGAGAAUAAGCGCCGGCUAACUCCGUG
rnacentral:rRNA from 1 species